rnacentral:rRNA from 1 species
UACAAGUACCGUGAGGGAAAGUUGAAAAGUACUUUGAAGAGAGAGUUAAACAGGACGUGAAACCGCUGCAAAGGAAACAGAUGGAACUGUAUUUUGUUGCUUGAUCAGCGAGCUCUGCUCGUGUAUUCUUGUGACUUUGUCAGUUGGAUUUUUUGGUGUGUUGAUGCGAGAGCAGUUCAACAUUGUUGGCUUCUCGUUCCCUUCCCACCAAUUCAUUCAUGUUCGGUUUGUCACAAACGUUUGCCUUUCGAAGUUCAAAUGCUUGCAUUUGUUCUCGAUUGGUUUUCGUGAAUGUGAAUCGGCACUGACAACGACGCGGUUUUAUCUGACCCGUCUUGAAACACGGACCAAGGAGUCUAGCAUAGAUGCGAGUCUGGCACUUUUAAAGUGUGUGGCGCAAUGAAGGUAAUCGUUUGCUUUGCUUGUCUGGCUUACGACUAUUGAGCAUCUAUGUUGGUACCCGAAAGAUGGUGAACUAUGCCUGAGCAGGAUGAAGCCAGAAGAAACUCUGGUGAAAGUCCGAAGCGGUUCUGACGUGCAAAUCGAUCGUCAGACUUGGGUAUAGGGGGCGAAAGACUAAUCGAACCAUCUAGUAGCUGGUUCCUAUCGCAA